UGGGCCUUACGCUGACGCCAGGGAGCUAGCGGCGCCGGGAUGGUGCUCCUGGAGAGCGAGCAGUUCCUGACGGAGCUGACCAGACUGUUUCAGAAGUGCCGGUUGUCGGGCAGCGUGUUCAUCACCCUGAAGAAGUAUGAUGGUCGAACUAAACCGAAUCCAAGGAAGGGUUCUGUAGAGGGCUUUGAGCCCUCAGACAACAAGUGUCUGUUAAGAGCUACUGAUGGGAAAAAGAAGAUCAGCACUGUGGUGAGCUCCAAAGAAGUGAACAAGUUUCAGAUGGCUUACUCAAAUCUAUUGAGAGCUAACAUGGAUGGGCUGAAGAAGAGGGACAAAAAGUGAAGGGCACCAGAUAUCCAUCUUUCACCAACUAACCACCGAAUCACUAUUUUUUCUUUGGUUUUUACUUUUGGCCACAAAUCUAGGUUUCUGGUUCCCCCAUAA